rnacentral:rRNA from 1 species
GGGUGACGGGUGGUGCAUGGUUGUCGUCAGCUCGUGUCGUGAGAUGUUGGGUUAAGUCCCGCAACGAGCGCAACCCUCGACCUUAGUUGCCAGCAUUCAGUUGGGCACUCUAAGGUGACUGCCGGCUAAAAGUCGGAGGAAGGUGGGGAUGACGUCAAAUCAUCAUGCCCCUUAUGACCUGGGCUACACACGUGCUACAAUGGGCGGUACAAAGGGUCGCGAACCCGCGAGGGGGAGCCAAUCCCAAAAAGCCGCUCUCAGUUCGGAUUGCAGGCUGCAACUCGCCUGCAUGAAGCCGGAAUCGCUAGUAAUCGCGGAUCAGCAUGCCGCGGUGAAUACGUUCCCGGGCCUU